GACGAACGCUGGCGGCGUGCUUAACACAUGCAAGUCGAGCGGUAAGGCCCUUUCGGGGGUACACGAGCGGCGAACGGGUGAGUAACACGUGGGUGACCUGCCCUCAGCUCUGGGAUAAGCCUGGGAAACCGGGCCUAAUACUGGAUAUGACUCCAUGACGCAUGUUGUGGGGUGGAAAGCCUUGUGCGGCUGAGGAUGGGCCCGCGGCCUAUCAGCUUGUUGGUGGGGUGAUGGCCUACCAAGGCGACGACGGGUAGCCGGCCUGAGAGGGCGACCGGCCACACUGGGACUGAGACACGGCCCAGACUCCUACGGGAGGCAGCAGUGGGGAAUCUUGCGCAAUGGGCGAAAGCCUGACGCAGCGACGCCGCGUGAGGGAUGACGGCCUCGGUGUAA
rnacentral:rRNA from 1 species